AAAACCAAUCGGGUUUCGGCCCGUAAAUUGGUGACUCUGAAUAACUAUAGCUGAUCGCAUGGUCUCGAACCGGCGACGUGUCUAUCAAGUGUCUGCCUUAUCAACUGUCGAUGGUAGUUUAUGUGCCUACCAUGGUUGUAACGGGUAACGGAGAAUAAGGGUUCGACUCCGGAGAGGGAGCCUGAGAAACGGCUACCACAUCCAAGGAAGGCAGCAGGCGCGCAAAUUACCCACUCUCGGCAUGAGGAGGUAGUGACGAAAAAUAACGAGACCGUUCUCUAUGAGGCCGGUUAUCGGAAUGGGUACAAUUUAAACCCGUUAACGAGGAUCUAUGAGAGGGCAAGUCUGGUGCCAGCAGCCGCGGUAAUUCCAGCUCUCAAAGUGUAUAUCGUCAUUGCUGCGGUUAAAAAGCUCGUAGUUGGAUCUGCGCCUCAGGACCUGGUCCGCCCACUGGGCGAGAACUGGGCUCCUGGGCUAGUUCUGCUGGUUUUCCCUACGUUGCCUUCAUCGGUCGCGUAGGGUGGCUAGCGAGUUUACUUUGAAAAAAUUAGAGUGCUUCACGCGGGCUUAUGUCUGAAUACUCGUGCAUGGAAUAAUAGAAUAGGAUCUCGGUUCUAUUUUGUUGGUUUUCUGAUCUGAGAUAAUGGUUAAGAGGGACGGACGGGGGCAUUCGUAUCGCUGCGUGAGAGGUGAAAUUCUUGGACCGUAGCGAGACGUCCGACUGCGAAUGCAUUUGCCAAGAAUGUCUUCAUUAAUCAAGAACGAAAGUCAGAGGUUCGAAGGCGAUCAGAUACCGCCCUAGUUCUGACCGUAAACGAUACCAACUAGCGUUCCGUCGGCGGUAAAUAUGCCUUGACGGGCAGCUUCCCGGAAACGAAAGUCUUUCGGUUCCGGGGGAAGUAUGGUUGCAAAGCUGAAACUUAAAGAAAUUGACGGAAGGGCACCACCAGGAGUGGAGCCUGCGGCUUAAUUUGACUCAACACGGGAAAACUCACCUGGCCCGGACACCGUGAGGAUUGACAGAUUGAGAGCUCUUUCUUGAUUCGGUGGUUGGUGGUGCAUGGCCGUUCUUAGUUGGUGGAGUGAUUUGUCUGGUUUAUUCC
rnacentral:rRNA from 1 species